GAUGAACGCUGGCGGUGUGCCUAAUACAUGCAAGUCGAGCGAACAGACGAGGAGCUUACUCCUCUGACGUUAGCGGCGGACGGGUGAGUAACACGUGGAUAACCUACCUAUAAGACUGGGAUAACUUCGGGAAACCGGAGCUAAUACCGGAUAACAUGUUGAACCGCAUGGUUCAACAGUGAAAGACGGUCUUGCUGUCACUUAUAGAUGGCUCCGCGUCGCAUUAGCUAGUUGGUAAGGUAACGGCUUAACAAGGCAGCGAUGCGUAGCCGACCCGAGAGCGUGAUCGCACACACUGGCACAGAGACACGGCCGCGACACCGACGGGAGGACGCGGUCGGGAAUCUUCCGCAAGGCGGCAAUGCGUGACUGAGCAACGUGGCGUGAGGGCUGAAGGUCUAAGGAUCGGAAAACUCUGUAGUUAGGAAAGAACAAAUGUGUAAGUAACCAUGCACGUAUUGACGGUACCUAAACAGAAAGCCACGGCUAACUACGUG
rnacentral:rRNA from 1 species